rnacentral:ncRNA from 2 species
GAACUGAAGAGUUUGAUCCUGGCUCAGAUUGAACGCUGGCGGAAUGCUUUACACAUGCAAGUCGAACGGCAGCACGGGAGCUUGCUCCUGGUGGC